CGCCCAGGACCGCGAGAGCAGCCCGGAUGGCAGCUACACAGAGGAGCGGAGCCAGGGGAACGAGCUGACGGUGCCGGCCACGGACUUCGACGACGAGUUCGACGAAGAGGAGCCGCUGCCCGCCAUCGGGACCUGCAAGGCCCUCUACACCUUCGAAGGUCAGAACGAAGGGACCAUCUCAGUAGCAGAAGGAGAAACCUUGUAUGUGAUCGAGGAAGACAAAGGGGACGGGUGGACCCGCAUCCGGAGGAGCGAGGACGAGGAGGGCUACGUCCCCACCUCCUACGUCGAAGUCUGUUUGGACAAAAACGCCACAGAUUCCUAGACUGAGGCCACCGACGCUCGCAGCCGCGUCCCCGCACCGCCUUGCUCCUCUCCUCGCCCGGCUUGCUCCUCGGGGCCCCGGAGGGACAGGUGUCACACACUUCACACCGUGCCUUCCCGACGAGGUGACCGCUGGUGCCAGGACUCCUGACAGAUCCUGGGCCCAGAGCGCCCCAGACGGGACUGGGGUCCCCACCCGCAUUUGGCCGGCACUGAGUCCCCUGCAGCUGGUGCUGGCCCUGUCGUCCGCCCGUGUCCACCCGGCCGGUUCCCAGACCCAGCGACGCUCAGUGCUGCGCCGUGACUGCGCCUCUUCCUCCCUGCGCUCUGAGUAGCGUUGUAGGGCUCCAUCGCCUCUGCCACCAAAGACAGACGCUCGGCCCUGCGGGUCCAGAGUCGCUGGAAGCUGCAUUUCCGCCCUGCCUGGCUCAGACCCAGGGGUCACCUGAGUGUCCUCUGUGGUUGGAUCAGUUGGGGUGGGGACAACAGUGACCGGCCUGGGAAUGCCAAGGCCAGGCGACAGGGGGACCAGGGACGGGGCUGUCGCUCGCCCGGCUGGAUGUCUGCCUGCGCCCCGCGGUCCGGACGCCGUGGGGCCGACGGUCCCUGCAUCCUGGGCAACUGCGCAGGGCCGGUGGCGAGAGGCUGGGCUGCGCCCGUGUCCCGUGACGGAUGGGCCCCUCAUGUCUGUCACACCCACUCCUGCUCCAUUCUAAGCCUUCAUAGCCCCUGUGUCCGGGAGGAAGGGGAGUCAGGACCCCUGGCUCGGCCUCCUGCUGCGGGGUCGUCUCUCACCAGGGACUCCUCCGGGUCCUGCCUGCCCUCUCCACCCGCUGGGACACAGCACGACUCAUUGGGAGCCGGUGUGGUAGCACACACCUGUCAUCCCAGCGCUCAGGAGGCUGAGGCAGGAGGAUCGCCAAGCUUUCAAAGCCAGUCUGGGCUACACAGUGAGACCCUGCCUCAGGAAAAAAAGAAAAGAAAAGAAAGACUCAUUUGAAGAGCACCUGCCCAGAAAAUGACUUCAAGACAAAACGAAAGAGGAACUCGUGCUUUCCCCAGCUUUCCCUUUGCGAGAUGAGAGCUGAGGCGCCCUGGGCUUCCCCUGGGCUGUGAGCGGCGCAGCGGAGGGGCUCACGCCGUAGCAGCUGUGAGACACCUGUGUCGCGGCACCGUGACAGCUGAGUCCACCCAAGUUUCCUCCCAGAACCGCGGUCCGCGUUUCUCCACGGCUCUGUCUCUUGUGUUUCUAACGUCGCAAACCGUCUUGGUCCAGGAUCCCACUUCAGCCCGGCGUUGGGCCCCACGUGUGCGUGUGUGCGUGCGUGUGUGUGUGUGUGCGCGUGUGUGUGUGUGCGUGUGUGUGUGUGCGUGUGCUGCACUAACCCUGAGCUUCGGGGCACAGCAGCUUCGCGACGGACGCCGCCAUUGUUCAGGUCCGGGAACCCGUUUGUCUCUGGAGAUGGAAUUACACCAAACCACGCUACCUUGGGAGCCUCAGAUUGGCUCUGUAAUCCUGUAAUCCACUAAACGGCCGAUAAAACGAC